GGUGGUUCUUGGGUGACGCACCCUGCAAUUGGGCUCCCUCCUCUCUGGUUCUGGGUGCAUCACCCGAGAUCCGAA
rfam:Myotis brandtii contig169235, whole genome shotgun sequence.